rnacentral:lncRNA from 1 species
UUAAAGCUUGUUUCAUUCGGCACUUUCAAGCUUUGAUUAAGGUAGGGAUUUUGUUCGGUUUUUGAUGAUUUUUAUGUUUUUAAGAUCGUUGCUUCGAUUACUAUUUGACCCAUGCUUGAAUUUUUGAUUUUGGUGAAUAUUUUGAGCUAUUCCAUUGAUGAAUGUUUGAGUUUUAUGAUGUUAGUAGGUGAAAUAUGAAAUAUAUUUGUUAGAUUAAUAUAUUUUGUAUUGGAAUUUUUAGUGAAAUUGAGUAAAUAGGGCUAAAUUGUGAAAUUAAAUUUUUGGGGGACUAAAGUGUGAAAUAAAUGCAAUGUGUGGACUUGUAUGAGAACCAUGAAUAUUCGGCCCUUGUGUGGUAUGGGCAAAUUUUGUGUAAAUUGUGUUUUAUGCAAUAAGGAGUAAAUUGCAAAAAAUGUAAAUAUUAGGGGCAAAAUAGUAAUUUGCCAAAUUAUGUGUUUUUGGAUUAAAUUGAAUGUGUUAAUAAAUAAAUUAUCUUAUUUUGAAUAUAUUUAGAUCGAGAACCAAAGAAAUCGGAGUUAGAUCGGGGAAAAGCCAAAUUAGUCGAGUAAUCGUCCGACUUCGAUUUUCCAUCGUCCGAGGUAAGUCUGUUAGCAAUUUAAUGUUAUUAACUCAACAUAUAUAUAUGUGUGUAUAUUUAUUAUAUAAUUUAUGAGCUAUAAUUAAAAGUAUAUAAAUUGAAUUUAGUUAAUAUAAGCAUUUAUAUAUGUAAAUAAGAAGUUCGAAUAAGUAUGUAUAUAUAAUUAUAAGUUUUUGGAGUUAAGUGAAAGUAUGGAUGUUAUAUUUGUAUUUAUAAUGUUCGAAUAUAUAUAUGUAUAUAUAUAUAAAUAAAUUUUUGAAUUUAGUUGAAUUGUGAAUGUUAUAAAAAUAUUAAUAGGGUUCGAAUAAGCAUGUAUAAGUUAUUGUAUUGAAAUUAGAUAUGAAGUUAUAUAUAUGAGCAUGAGGUUCGAUUGUGUAUGAAUAUAUAUAUAUAAGUUCAUGAGUUGAAUUAUAAGUAUAAAUUAUAUAUAAAUGUAUAUGAGGUGCAAAUAUGUAUGUAUACAUAUGUAUAAUUUUUGUAUUGAAUCAAAGGUAUGAAAUUAUUAGCUUAGAUUAUUUAUAAUAUGUUUGAAUGUAUGAUAUGUUUUCUUUGAAGUGAAUUUAAUGCCAUAAAAUGUGUAUGUAUCUAAGUAAUUCGAAUGUUAAAUGUAUAUUACUUCGGGUAUAUUAUAAAUUUAAUAGUAUGAUAUUAGUAGUAGGAUUCAAGUUAUAAAGUUAUAUACAUAAAUUUGUUAGGUUGAAUCAUGAAGAUAUUGAGCUGGAUUUGGUGUUUGAAUUUCAUGUACCUAUGUGGUUCAAAGAUAUAGGUUAUAAAUUUUGAGCUGAAUUUUUACGUAUGGAUUUAUAUACAUAUAUAGUUCGAAUAUGAAUUACAGCUUCUUUUAACUGAAAUUAUUGUUGUGAAUUAUAUAAGUAUGUUUUAAGUGCAUGAUUGUUACGUAGAAUUGAAUAUAAUUCAAUUCCAACGGAGAAACGACUAUCGGAUUUAUUGCCAGUGAAAUUAUUCAGACUAUACGUCUAGCAGGCUAAGUGCCGGUGAAUUGAAUCGGACUAUACGUCCAGCAGGCUAAGUGCCGGUGAACUAAAUCAGGAUACAAGCCUAGCAGGCUAAGUGCCGGUGAACUAAAUCAGGCUAUAGGCCUAGUAGGCUAAGUGCCGGUGAACGGAAUUAAACUAUAAGCCUAUCAGGUGAAGUGCCAGUGAAUCUGUUUAAAUUAAGUGAUUCUAUGCAUUCGGUAUAAAUAUAUAUGAUUUUGUUUAUAUGAAAUGGAUAAAUUUAUGAACAUUAUUUCAAGGUGGUUGAUGAGUAUAUAAUCAUUCGAAUUCUUGUGAAUAGUGAGUAUGUAUAUAUAUAUAUAUAUCGGUUAUCAUGAAAUUGUUGGAUAUAAAUAUAUGUGUGUAUAUAUGUAUGCAUUCGGCAUAUGUGGGUAUAAGUGUAUAUGUGCAUUCGGCACUUAUAGUUGAUAAGUAUAAAAAUUUUGCUCUUGAUAUAUGUAAUUGAACAAUUAUAUAUAAAUGGAUCCGAUGAAGUGCGAACAAUAAGUACUCUAGUAAUCAGUAUAUGCAGUUAAUGAUUAUGUUAGUAACUUGAUUAUAUGCAUAUAAUGUAUAUACCCUUGUCCAUUUAUGUAUAUUAGUUAAAUAUACAUUCUUUUAGAUUUAAACAAAAUGACUUAAUAUAGCAAUGAUUGGUUAGUAAAUAUAUUUGAUAUUUGUGAUUUCAAUAAAUUUACUUAAAGAAUUAUGUGAUUCUUUUAUAUGUAUUUUUAGAUAUGCUAUAGACUUACUAAGCUAUAAAAGCUUACUUUGAUUGUUUUUGUCCAUUUGUUUUUAUAGAUUUUGGAGACGUGUUACGAGCUCGGGGAUCAUCAGCAUAGUCUAUCACACUAUCGACUUCUUUUGGUAUUUUGUUAAAUAUUUAAACUUGAUCUUAUGGCAUGUAUAGGUUUGAGUACGAUGUUGGUUAAAUUUUGAUUGUAAAUUAUAAAUAGCUAUGAGAAAAUAAUUUAAUUUUCAUGUUUGUGAUCAGUUUGGUUUUAAAAAUGGUUGUGUUUGUUCGGUAAUGCCUCGUAAUCCUAAUUCAGCGACGGAUACAGGUUAGGGGUGUUACACCCUAUAUGUGUGAUCUGUCUGUCUGAUUUCCAUACCGAGCAUGACUUAUGAUAUCUGAAUGUAUGUACUAUUAAUUGCAUAAUGGCAUGACAUAUUUUGUAUGUUGUAUUGCAUCGGGGUGAGUUGAUAUUUGGAGGAAGUGUCUGAAAGGCUAUUAAGCCUGUUAUCUGGCAGCUCAACUGCAACCUUCUGAUUAUGUGCCACAUUUCGGUAUAGCAUGGUGUGUAGGGAUGGGUGGGUUGAUUUAAUCCCCACAUGGUCUGUAGGGUUGGACGGAGAUGAUGUGUAGAGACUGGUGGGUAGGAUUCUGAUUUACUGUAUCUGCAUUCUGUAUCUGAUAUGGGCCAAGGCCCUAAUGUAUUUCUAAGACUAUAUCUGAAUGGGUUAAGGCCCAAACUGAUUCUGUGAUGGGCAGAGUCCCCAUUCUGUAUCUAACUGAAUUCUGUUGAUUUUCUGUAUGCAUGUUUUCUGUGGGGAUUACACACUGAUUUUGCGAAACUCACCAUUUCUCUGUUUAAAUCUGUACAGGUAAUUCCCAAAUUUGACAGGUCGGUGCAACAAAGAACUCGACGGUGGCCACACGUAAAUUUUAGAUUGUUUUCCGUUAAUGCCUAGAAUUUAUUACUUAUUUAGAGUUUUUGAUGUAUCUUCUACUAGAAUAUAGACUGGUUGGCUUUAAAUUUGGGACAUUAUACUUUUUUUUAUGGAUUUUUUUUAAAACUGCAACUCCACAAAACACGAUUUUUUUCUAAAAACUAAGGUUUUUCGUAAAUAGAAACGAUUUUCUCUAAAUUAAUUAGUUACAAAAGCUUCCGCUAAG